rnacentral:rRNA from 1 species
CAGCCGCCGCGGUAACACGUAGGGUGCAAGCGUUAAUCGGAAUUACUGGGCGUAAAGCGUGCGCAGGCGGUUAUAUAAGACAGAUGUGAAAUCCCCGGGCUCAACCUGGGAACUGCAUUUGUGACUGUAUAGCUAGAGUACGGCAGAGGGGGAUGGAAUUCCGCGUGUAGCAGUGAAAUGCGUAGAUAUGCGGAGGAACACCGAUGGCGAAGGCAAUCCCCUGGGCCUGUACUGACGCUCAUGCACGAAAGCGUGGGGAGCAAACAGGAUUAGAUACCCCCGUAGUCCCUGUCUCUUAUAA